GGCCGAGACGGUACAGGUAGGCGUCUGCCCGGUCUGCGCCGCGCGACGGUACAGGUACAGGUCUCGCUGACCGGCCGAGACGGUACAGGUACAGGUCUCGCUGACCGGCCGAGACGGUACAGGUAGGCGUCUGCCCGGUCUGCGCCGCGCGACGGUACAGGUACAGGUCUCGCUGACCGGCCGAGACAGUACAGGUACAGGUCUCGCUGACCGGCCGAGACGGUACAGGUAGGCGUCUGCCCGGUC